rnacentral:rRNA from 1 species
UGCCAGCCGCCGCGGUAAUACGGAGGGUGCAAGCGUUAAUCGGAAUUACUGGGCGCAAAGCGCGCGUAGGCGGUUAAUUAAGUCAGAUGUGAAAGCCCCGGGCUCAACCUGGGAACUGCAUUUGAAACUGGUUAACUAGAGUAUGGUAGAGGAGAGUGGAAUUUCAGGUGUAGCGGUGAAAUGCGUAGAGAUCUGAAGGAACACCAGUGGCGAAGGCGGCUCUCUGGACCAAUACUGACGCUGAGGUGCGAAAGCGUGGGUAGCAAACAGGAUUAGAUA